CAGCCCCGGGCUCUGCCGACACCAGCCCCUGAGCCGGAGCCUGCAGAGCAGAAGUUUAUUCUGUUGGAUCAUCUGACUUCCAGUCUGACUGAAUGUCUGGCCUGGUCUCAAAACUUUGUUUUCAUUCAAUUCCCCAAUGGUGAUUGCAUUUUGCAACUGCUAUUUUGCCUCUCAAUCCAGCCCUUAAUGUUUUUCUGCAUGUCAUUGUGUACAGCUUGAUUCUCAAAUAUUCAGUAAAGACAGUCUAUUAUCUCCUAAACAUCUUUCUCAAAGGCAAAAAUCUAUUGUGUUUUUUGCUGAACAUUAGAACUGCUGUAGUGUAUGUAGUCCGUCUAGUCCAGUAUCCUGUCUUCUGACAGCAGCCAGUGCCAGGUGCUUCUAAGGGAAUGAACAGAACAGGCAAUCACUGAGUGAACCAUCCCAUUGUCCACUCCCAGCAUCUGGCAGUCAGAGGACAGUUUAGGGACAUCCAGAGCAUGGGGCUGCAUCCCUGAUUAUCUUGGCUAAUAGCUGAUGCACCUAUCAUGAGGGACUGAUCAAAUUCUUUGUUGAAACCGUUUAUAGUUUUGACCUUCAGAACAUAAUGAACACACAUCUACAACCCCGAGAUACCUUGACAGCCACAGGAAUUCUAAAAUCAUGAGUUAUACACCCUGAAGUCAAGAAAUUUUAAUAAAUACAUGAUAUUUUGUUCUUGUGUGCCUCUUUGUUCCUGAGCCUUUAGAGUGUAGUAAGGCCAGUUCCACCAAAGCUGGAGGCUAAACACCUGAAUGAAUCUUAGUCCACCCUCAUACUUUUCCUGUUAUCUCUCCCAAACAUUUCAUAUGCCUAAGGCCAUAUCUACACUACAAGCGUAUGUUAACUCAAGUUAUGUCAGCAUAGGCUCGCUACAGUUACUAUGUCACUUGUGCACAUGCCUACUCACUUGUGGGCAUGCAGAGUCCCAAGCAUAGAAGUGGGGGACAUCAUGAUUCUAUGCAGAACAGAUUGCUGUGGGACAUAGCAACAACCAAUUCAAACUUCUUGGUGGCAUUCACAGGUUUGGGAUGAUGAGCAUUGGCUGCACAAGGCCACAAUCCUUGCUCUGUGUGCCAAACUUGCCAAAAUGACAGUUGCACUGACAGUGGAGAAGCAAAUACAGAUUUCACCAUGGAAACUUUCGAGAGAUUGCUACCUCUUACUCAGAAGUAUCUCAACUGUAUUAUGGCACUCUGGACCUUAAAGCAGUACCCUCCCCAUUCCAUUCACCCCGUCAUAUAAUUAUGAUAUAUUUCAUACAAAGAAUGUCAUAUCACAUAUCAUGAAAGGUCAGGAUCUGCUGAAACCCAUUGUUCUGUCAUAUUAUUAGUGCCUAUCAAGUUAUGAAAUUUUCCUCUAUGGUUGUUACUGAAAUAUGUUGUAAGUUUGGGAGUUGCUCUCCAGUAACAACAGAAGAGGGAAUGUACAGCCAGGUGGGCACUGAGUGAUCAUCAACAGCCAUUACUUGUUGGGAGUUGUCAACGAGUUGUAAUGGAAGUUGUAAUCAGUGGAUUUCCAAUUCAAUGACAAACCAUACCAGGGGUAUUUCUGAACACUUUCACUCUGCAAAGCCCAUCAUCACCUGUCUGGGCAAGGAUUUUCCAGGCACGUGGACUCAAGCUAUAAAAUAAAAGCAACAUGCAUUCGCCUCAAAAUCUUCACCCACCUAUGCUGGAAGCAACCUGAACGCUGGGAAGACAAAUGGUUCAGCUCAGGAUACUGAGAAGGAGAAGGCUCUGACAUUUUCAGCCACUGCACUGAAGAAUCCAGGUGUGUACAGUAUGUGCUAUGCCUACAUCAUGCAGACAUAGGCCUUUUCCUCACUGCUAAAAAAAAACUUUGAUUUUUUUAUCACCUUGCUGUAAGAAGGGUGAUUGAUCUGUUGUGAAGUGACAACACAAUGAAGACAAGACAACACAACUUUUAACAGUGAGGGAAAAGGCUCAAGAAAAUGUCUCAAAAAUUAAAUCGGAGAGCAACAAUGACAUGUGAGCACCACGGUUUUGAGUGUAAAUUUUUUGUGGUGAUACCCUUGUUGCUCGAUAUAUGUAACAGUGACAAAAGUGGAAGUCUGUAUAAAGCACAAUGGUAGCUUUUCUACCUAUGAGCUUGCUUUCAAAAGGAAUUCAUAAGCAUUUCAAAUACUAUUUAUAAUGCUUUGCACUACUCCCAAUGUUUUGUGUGCAUUCAAUGUUUCUUUACUAAUAGACUGUAUGACCUACUAUACAAUGGAAAGGGACUAAUACAGAUUUCUUUUGAAAUGCUCAGACUUUCAUUAAGAGUUUUUCAUGCAAUAGCCAUGAAAUUCAACGUGUAAAAUGGUUUUUAAAUAGUCCUGAAAAGAUGUGGGCUUGGUCCUCUGUACUCCAAAAAUGUUUGGUAUCAAGUGUUAUCUAAUAGGUACUGUGAGGGUGUUGCCUAAGCAUCUUGUCAUAUAACUAAAGUGUCACUUAUGAUUUCUUGAGUAAUAAACAUCAUGAACAGAAGGCUGUGACACUCUGAUCCUCAAAGUAGUACCUGGAACCCCCAUAUUUAGUAUUGUCAUAGGAUUAGCAGAUGUUUUGUACAAAUGCAUGCUUUUACUUUUUAAAUGUUUUUCAUGCCUGUUAUCAUCACGAUACAUAAAUGUGUAUGUUAUAUGGGUUUAUUUAUUUCAGAUUCUUCAGCAUUUCAGAAAACUGAUUUUUCAAAAAAAAAACCCUUUAUUAGGAAAAGAACUCCCUGUAAUAAAAAUCAGUAUAGCAGAUAAGGCGGGUAAGAAGAGGGUUUCCAUGUAUAUGUUCUGUUGUUUUCUGAAUGUAUUAAACAGUGUCUGCAAACACCCCUGCUUGUGCUUUUUUUAAAAUUCACAUUCUUGUGCUGUUAUAUUUCCUAUCCUGAGUUACUAUGAUUUCAUUUUGUUAAAAUGUUACGGGUGUUCUCAUUAUUUCAAAUGAAAUGUGAUUUCCAUGGAUCAAAUGCUGGCACACUUUGUAACAAAAAUACUUUGAACUUAUGCACAUAGCUCACAUGUAUUUAUGUAACCCUUGUGAUUGGCCUAUGAAUGAUGCUGCAUUGUGGAGUUUGUUGAGUUUGGCUUUCCCUGCUUAUAUGUCUGCAAUUUUCAUGUCAUACCUACAAUAUAAAUGCUGCUUAUUAUAUGCAUAGAUAUUUGAUGUUUGCAAUUUUGUGGAAGUUAAGUGUGUAAUGUUUUCUUCUGUGAACAAUACUCAGUUAAAUCUUUUGAGGGAAAAAUUGCACAGAUAUUGGCAUAUAAGAGGAGUAACACAUAUCCUGAAGGAAUUAAUAAAACAGGCAGACUUAAUCUAUGUCAA